CCAUAAAGGUAAAAAACGAUAUAUGCAGCGUUAUCUUCGUUUUAGAUGUCAAAUGGGUUUUGUGGCUCCCUUUUUCUUUUUUCUGUGGGAAACGGGUCCAAAUGGCUCUUUGAGUGUUUAAGGUUGCCGACCCCUGGGCUAGAACAUGUUGUUGAUGUUAAAGGCACAGCCCUCUCCUGGCUCCAGUCUUAUUUGACCAAUCGCUCUCAGUUUGUAUAUCUAUUUGGUGACUAAACAAACUAAGCUAAGGUUUAUAGUCCAGCGCAGAGGGUCACAACUGCAUUAUUUUCAGACAUCACACAUCAACACGAUCAUCAUCUCCAUCAGCAGCCAUGUCCUCCUGUACUCUUUUGCUGCUUCUGCUGGGUCUUUCCUGCCUUCAGAGCUUCACAAAGGCAGAUAGUGCAAGUGGAGCAGAUUUGUGCUGUUUUGAGUUCCACAAAAGACCGUUACCAGCAGCAAACGUUGUUUCUUACGUAGAAACAAGAACUGACUGUACAGUUCCUGCAGUCAUUUUGACCACAAAGAAGGGUUAUCGCAUAUGUGCAGACCCUGAGAUGGACUGGGUGCAGCAGCUCAUCAAAAUUAAAAACUCAGCCUAGAUUCAGGAGACAAAUUAAAGCGUCUCUCCCUGAAAUUAGCUUUACUUUGCAGAAUGCUUCAUUUUACCUACACAGUACUUAAAGCAAUCUGAUAUUGUGUGUAACAAGACAAAGCUUCUUCUUCUGUCUGUUUUUCUUCUGCACAAAUAAAGCACACAUUUAUAACUCA